GCAACGCGAAGAACCUUACCUACUCUUGACAUCCAGAGAACUUUCUAGAGAUAGAUUAGUGCCUUCGGGAACUGUGAGACAGGUGCUGCAUGGCUGUCGUCAGCUCGUGUUGUGAAAUGUUGGGUUAAGUCCCGCAACGAGCGCAACCCUUAUCCUUUGUUGCCAGCGGUUCGGCCGGGAACUCAAAGGAGACUGCCAGUGAUAAACUGGAGGAAGGUGGGGAUGACGUCAAGUCAUCAUGGCCCUUACGAGUAGGGCUACACACGUGCUACAAUGGCGUAUACAAAGAGAAGCGACCUCGCGAGAGCAAGCGGACCUCAUAAAGUAUGUUGUAGUCCGGAUUGGAGUCUGCAACUCGACUCCAUGAAGUCGGAAUCGCUAGUAAUCGUAGAUCAGAAUGCUACGGUGAAUACGUUCCCGGCCCUUGUACACACCGCCCGUCACACCAUGGGAGUGGGUUGCAAAAGAAGUAGGUAGCUUAAC
rnacentral:rRNA from 1 species